GCGAGAAAUGUUAGGAAAAUAUCCUCGCAUGGCUCAAUUAAGAAAACUGAUAUCAUUUUGCCCAAACUCGGCUUUACAGGUGCUACCAGAAGCGUUUUUGCGGAAAAAGUAGCCGACGAUUUCCGUCUUGAGCGCUGAUGUAUUUGGUCUAUUUGUACAGCUUUAUGGAACAAAUCAUAAACAGAGUUUAGUAUAAAAAUAAUGCCAUAAACAAGGUUAGAGUGUCUGAAGGCUUUGAAAAGCUCACAAUCUCUGAGUAGGUAAAAAUACUAUUGAAACUGGAAAUACGGACUCAAUAUGAUGCUUAGUAGAAAAAAUUUAUAUAUAUGCAAGAAAUUUUUUAUUUUGACAUAAGUACACAGAAUCACCAUUUUAUUCAAAAAAGCACAUGCUUGCCGUAUGAAAUGAAGUAAAUUAAAUUUCCUUUAGCCGUGCGGAUGAAAAUGCCAUUUAGUUAUAGUCAUCAUCCUUAGAACCGGCAACGAUAAUAUCGUUAACUUUGAGUACCAUUCUGCAAAGCUGAGUAGCAAGAAGCAGUUGUUGUUUCUUUCCAAUAAGAGGAUCAAUAACAAACUGCUUUCUCAUAUCAUUACUUCCGGUCUGCAAACAGUCAAUACCAAGAUAUGCCUUGUUUUCUUUUACAUGACGAGCUUUAACUGCUGUAAGAGCUUCGAUGGACGAAAGGCCACUGUUCUCCGCGAGGGCAAGAGGAAUCGUGUCCAAAGCAUCUGCAAAUGCACCCAUGGAAUAUUGAUCAAUACCAGGAAUCUUUUCAGCUUCUUUGGUGACAGCCAAAGAGCAAGAAAUCUCAGCAGCACCACCACCAUACACUACUCUGUUGUCACGUAUCAGAUUACGAACGACACAGAGUGCAUCAUGCAAAGCACGUUUCGCCUCAUCGACAAUCAUCUUAUUGCUUCCUCGUACAAAAACGGUUACGGCUCGAGAGUUGGCACACUUUUCUAUAACUAAAAUCUUAUCACGAGUCGUACCAAACGACACCUCUCUCACUAUACCGGCUGAACCAAGCUUAUCAGACGAAAGAUCCUCAAAUCGGGGCACAAUUCGUCCAUUUGUAGCAAUAGCAAUCAAUUCGAUUUCGGGACCUCCCACCCAACGUACAGCCGGUAAAUUAUUUUGAAGAAGUAGAUGGUUUGCUUCAUCAUCAAAACCCCAUUGACAUAUAACAAGGUUAGCUCCUGCGUCCUUUACAUGCUUAAUCAUUUCCUGAAAUUUUUCCUUCUCAUAAGCUUGAAGGGCUUCAAAUUCACUCACUGAUGUUAUGUCCAACUUAUGCUUAGUUUUUGGCUUUGGUGGUUCAAAAGGGCAGGUUAAAAUAGCAAUCUUUGCAUUUUCAAUACGAUGAGGCAUUUGUGGAUGCGACAUGUCUUUGUCCACCACAACACCCUUUACAAGCUUUGUAUCAUCCACUGAACCACCAACCUUGCCAUCUACUUUAAUGAGUUCAAAAUCAACAUCUUUUCUCUGCAAAUCAGCAACAGAAAGGACCGCGUCCACAGCAAUGUUUGCAAAGUGAUCAUGAGCUUUGGAAACCACUUUACUACCCAAACUAGUCUUAGCAGAACGAAAUAAAUUAGUAGUGUUUUCGGGACUAAAGUCGACAACAUCUGAAAUAGCAUCUAAAUGUUUAACAGCCACCUGGCAUGCCUUUUCGUAACCAUCUGCAAUCCUUAUAGGAUGUAUACCUUUGUCUAUAAGUGCCUCGGCCUGCUCCAGUAAUGCACCUGCUAGUACAACAACACCAGUAGUUCCAUCCCCAAUUUCAUCAUCUUGAGAUUUAGACAACUGAACUAACAGCUUUGCAAUUUGAUGUUCAACCUCCAUUUGGUCGAGGAUUGUAGCACCGUCAUUGGUAACCGUAAUCUCUCCAUCUGGAGAGAUUAAAAUUUUAUCCAGUCCACGGGGACCCAAAGAAGUACGCACAAUAUUAGCAACUGUUUUGGUAGCUAAUAUGUGACUUUUUACAGCAUCAAUUCCAUGCAAUCUUCUCUUCUUUUCCUGGUCACGUACUAAAAUGAAAGGAUUUCCUUGAUCGUCACGGACCAUAACAGCGUUAUCUAGACCGGCCAUUUUGCUCAUCUUGUUAUUGUGAACUGUCGAUGCAAAUGAAUUUCAAGUGAUAAAACUGAACGCUACACUAACCCAAAUCCUUGAAAUACUUUUGAACGAUUUCACAAAGAACCUUAUCUCUUACUUCCCUUUAAAUCGUUGAAAUAACUUGAGGUUCAAGCUUAGGGUGUAUUCUUUAGAAUGUCGUUGAAAGCACGUCUAAUAUGUUGCGGCCCUUCAGCAUUUUACGAACUUCUAUAGAAGAAAUAAGCACUAUAUUUCACUAAUGUAAGCUACGCAGUUUGGUAUCUGAUUUAAGGAUACGUAGAACUGCGGUGAGUUUUCCUUGUGGUCUAUUAUAUUACAAUACACAGGUUGUAUAAGUAGCAACUGAGUAUAGGUAUUGUA